UCUAGAACUCAGGAUCACUCGUGUUACACUGCAAUCGCGUGUCGCCCUUAGAGUUUGAUCCUGGCUCAGGACGAACGCUGGCGGCGUGCUUAACACAUGCAAGUCGAACGGAAAGCGCUCUUUGGAGUGACUCGAGUGGCGAACGGGUGAGUAACACGUGGGUGAUCUGCCCUGCACUUUGGGAUAAGCCUGGGAAACUGGGUCUAAUACCGGAUAGGACUACAUGCUGCAUGGUGUGUGGUGGAAAGUUUUCGGACGGUGUGGGAUGGGCCCGCGGCCUAUCAGCUUGUUGGUGGGGUGAUGGCCUACCAAGGCUUCGACGGGUAGCCGGCCUGAGAGGGUGUCCGGCCACACUGGGACUGAGAUACGGCCCAGACUCCUACGGGAGGCAGCAGUGGGGAAUAUUGCACAAUGGGCGCAAGCCUGAUGCAGCGACGCCGCGUGGGGGAUGACGGCCUUCGGGUUGUAAACCUCUUUCACCAUCGACGAAGGCCCGGUUUUUGCUGGGUUGACGGUAGGUGGAGAAGAAGCACCGGCCAACUACGUGCCAGCAGCCGCGGUAAUACGUAGGGUGCGAGCGUUGUCCGGAAUUACUGGGCGUAAAGGGCUUGUAGGUGGUUUGUCGCGUUGUUCGUGAAAUGCCACAGCUUAACUGUGGGCGUGCGGGCGAUACGGGCAGACUGGAGUACUGCAGGGGAGACUGGAAUUCCUGGUGUAGCGGUGGAAUGCGCAGAUAUCAGGAGGAACACCGGUGGCGAAGGCGGGUCUCUGGGCAGUAACUGACGCUGAGGAGCGAAAGCGUGGGGAGCGAACAGGAUUAGAUACCCUGGUAGUCCACGCCGUAAACGGUGGGUACUAGGUGUGGGUUUCCUUCCUUGGGAUCCGUGCCGUAGCUAACGCAUUAAGUACCCCGCCUGGGGAGUACGGCCGCAAGGCUAAAACUCAAAGGAAUUGACGGGGGCCCGCACAAGCGGCGGAGCAUGUGGAUUAAUUCGAUGCAACGCGAAGAACCUUACCUGGGUUUGACAUGCACAGGACGCGUCUAGAGAUAGGCGUUCCCUUGUGGCCUGUGUGCAGGUGGUGCAUGGCUGUCGUCAGCUCGUGUCGUGAGAUGUUGGGUUAAGUCCCGCAACGAGCGCAACCCUUGUCUCAUGUUGCCAGCAUUAAGUUGGGGACUCAUGGAAGACUGCCGGUGACAAACCGGAGGAAGGUGGGGAUGACGUCAAGUCAUCAUGCCCCUUAUGUCCAGGGCUUCACACAUGCUACAAUGGCCGGUACAAAGGGCUGCGAUGCCGUGAGGCUUAGCGAAUCCUUUUCAAAGCCGGUCUCAGUUCGGAUCGGGGUCUGCAACUCGACCCCGUGAAGUCGGAGUCGCUAGUAAUCGCAGAUCAGCAACGCUGCGGUGAAUGCGUUCCCGGGCCUUGUACACACCGCCCGUCACGUCAUGAAAGUCGGUAACACCCGAAGCCCAUGGCCUAACCCGUAAGGGAGGGAGUGGUCGAAGGUGGGAUCGGCGAUUGGGACGAAGUCGUAACAAGGUAACCAAGGGCGACACGCGAUUGCAGUCUUGAGUCCACCUGAAGU
rnacentral:rRNA from 1 species